rnacentral:rRNA from 1 species
CACGUAGUUAGCCGUGGCUUUCUCCUUGGGUACCAUCACUUUUCUUUUUCCCCAAGAUCAGAAGUUUACAAUCCGAAAACCUUCUUCCUUCACGCGGCGUUGCUGGGUCAGAGUUUCCUCCAUUGCCCAAUAUUCCUAACUGCUGCCUCCCGUAGGAGUCUGGACCGUAUCUCAGUUCCAGUGUGGCCGGUCAUCCUCUCAGAUCGGCUAAUCAUCGUCGCCAUGGUGGGCCUUUACCCUCACCAUCUAGCUAAUGAUACGCAAGCUCAUCUAUUACCAGUAUCCCUUUGACCCCUUGAAGAUGCCUUCCCGUGGUCUUAUGCGGUAUUAGCAGUCGUUUCCAACUGUUAAUCCCCCUGUAAUAGGCAGAUUACUCACGCGUUACUCACCAGUCCGCCACUAAGUUAAUUUAGCAAAGCUAAAAUUUAAACUCCGUUCGACUUUGCAUGUUUUGAAGCAACGCCGCCAGCGUUCGUCUCGAGCCGAGACGACAACGUAACACCUUGACGAC